UGAGUCGGCCGGGCGGUCGCGGCACCGCGAGGUGUCGAGGAAAGUCCGGACUCCACAGAGCACGGUGGUGGCUAACCGCCACCCACGGCGACGUGCGGGACAGUGCCACAGAAAGCAAACCGCCAGCGGCCUUCGUCCUCGGACGAAGGUGCGGGUAAGGGUGAAACGGUGAGGUAAGAGCUCACCAGCGCGGCGGGUGACCGUCGCGGCUCGGUAAACCCCACCGGGAGCAAGACCAAGAGGGCCUUCGGGCCUGCGCUGACGGGCUGCUCGUCCGAGGUCAGCGGGUAGGUCGCACCGAGGCGUGCAGCAAUGCGCGCCCCAGAUGGAUGGCCGCCCCUCGCGCUCGACGCGAGGACAGAAUCCGGCUUACAGGCCGGCUCAUUCG
rnacentral:RNase_P_RNA from 1 species